rnacentral:rRNA from 1 species
GGUUAAGCGACUAAGCGUACACGGUGGAUGCCCUGGCAGUCAGAGGCGAUGAAGGACGUGCUAAUCUGCGAAAAGCGUCGGUAAGGUGAUAUGAACCGUUAUAACCGGCGAUGUCCGAAUGGGGAAACCCAGUGCAAUUCGUUGCACUAUCGUUAACUGAAUACAUAGGUUAACGAGGCGAACCGGGGGAACUGAAACAUCUAAGUACCCCGAGGAAAAGAAAUCAACCGAGAUUCCCCCAGUAGCGGCGAGCGAACGGGGAGCAGCCCAGAGUCUGAAUCAGCUUGUGUGUUAGUGGAACGGUCUGGAAAGUCUGACGGUACAGGGUGAUAGUCCCGUACACCAAAAUGCACAGGCUGUGAACUCGAAGAGUAGGGCGGGACACGUGGUAUCCUGUCUGAAUAUGGGGGGACCAUCCUCCAAGGCUAAAUACUCCUGACUGACCGAUAGUGAACCAGUACCGUGAGGGAAAGGCGAAAAGAACCCCGGCGAGGGGAGUGAAAAAGAACCUGAAACCGUGUACGUACAAGCAGUGGGAGCACCUUCGGGUGUGACUGCGUACCUUUUGUAUAAUGGGUCAGCGACUUAUAUUCUGUAGCAAGGUUAACCGUAUAGGGGAGCCGCAGGGAAACCGAGUCUUAACUGGGCGUUAAGUUGCAGGGUAUAGACCCGAAACCCGGUGAUCUAGCCAUGGGCAGGUUGAAGGUUGGGUAACACUAACUGGAGGACCGAACCGACUAAUGUUGAAAAAUUAGCGGAUGACUUGUGGCUGGGGGUGAAAGGCCAAUCAAACCGGGAGAUAGCUGGUUCUCCCCGAAAGCU